CAGAGAGCCAACUGUGAAAUGAUGACUUGGGAAAAGGCAGUGAAAAUACAGGGUUAUUGGAGCGUUUGCCUUCCUGGGGCCUGAGCUCAGAGUCAGCAGGGGCAGGAGCCAGCAGAGUGGAAUCCAGGCUCCAUAGACUCACAACUUCCCUCACUGUUCUCAGGUCCUUGCCACUCAGGGAGGAGAAGAAAGGAUCCCCUUGUUAGGAAAGUAAUGGGAAGCUUCAGUCAAUCUACCCUCUCACAACCCUGGCUCCAUUACCUGACAAUCUACUCAUCCCUUUCUGGCUUCUGGGGCACCUGUGAUUUGAUUCACAAAAUCUGCCUGCCAUGUAGGAGACGCAGAAGGUCAGGAAGAUCCCCUGGAGGAGGAAAUGGCAACCCAUGCCGGUAUUCUUGUUCAGAAAAGCUCACGGACACUGGAGCUUGGCGGGCUCAGUACAUAGGGUUGCAAAGAGAGGAAAGAACUGAGAGACUGAGCAUGUGACCGGAUUAGCUCCGUCUGAAUCAUCUCCCCUUUUCUGGGUCAAGUGUGCUACGUAACUUAACACAGCCACAGGAAUAAUAUCUCUUCCUGUUCACGGGUUCCAGGCAGGAGGAUGUAGAAUCUUGAGUGUUUUCCUAGAAUGUCUGCCUGCCACAGGGACACCUCUACAGAAAAAAAAAAAAAAUUGUUUGCUACUCUGCUUCCUCUUCUGUCUUCUCUUGAAUGUUCUUGAAGAGGAUAUCUCUUCAAGGUUGGGAGGCUGAACAAAAGUCAACACAGUAACACUGGCAGAGUGAGAAGUCAAAUACAACAGAUUGCUAGACAAUUUUCUUCAGUUAUCAUUAUUGAAAAAAUUGAAGCUUCCCAGAUGGAGCCAAACCCAAGUUCUGAGGAGGAAUCAUUAUUCAAAAUCAUUGAAAUCAUUAUUGAAAAAUUGAAUCUUCUCAGAUGGAGCCAAACCCAAGUUCUGAAGAGGAAUAUAUACAAACUCAAAGUUUCCUUGUGUUAGAAAGAGCAAUACUGUUGAGCUAGGUUCUCUGAGGUGCUGGAUUAUAUAUUAUAUAUUUAAUGCCUGGAAAUACUCUGUGAUUAUAGUUGGUACUCAAUGUUUCUCCAUUAACUAUUAUAUUAAAAAAAAAAAACAAGACUAGAGUAAACAGAUAUGGAAAAGACUGAUAAAUAAGAAAGUUCUUGAUUAAAACUAAGUAUUUUAUCCCAGUACCAUACAGUUGUGAUCACUAUAGCUUUGUGGUAUGGUUUGAAAUCUGGGACAUGA
rnacentral:lncRNA from 1 species